CGUGGAGACAGGUGGUGCAUGGCUGUCGUCAGCUCGUGUCGUGAGAUGUUGGGUUAAGUCCCGCAACGAGCGCAACCCUUAUCCUUAGUUGCCAUCAAUUCAGUUGGGCACUUUAAGGAGACUGCCGGUGUCAAACCGGAGGAAGGUGGGGAUGACGUCAAGUCCUCAUGGCCUUUAUGCCCAGGGCUACACACGUGCUACAAUGGGCGGCACAAAGGGAAGCGACGCCGCGAGGUGUAGCAAAUCCCAAAAAACCGUUCUCAGUUCGGAUCGGAGUCUGCAACUCGACUCCGUGAAGUUGGAAUCGCUAGUAAUCGUGGAUCAGCAUGCCACGGUGAAUACGUUCCCGGGCCUUGUACACACCGCCCGUCACACCACGAAAGUCUGCUGUACUCGAAGUCGCUGAG
rnacentral:rRNA from 1 species